CAAGAAAAGAGGCUGAAACGAUGCCUCGUCUGUCUCCUUGCUUCCAUUCUCUCUCUUAUAUCAUAAAUCUGUAGAGAGAGAAUGUUCACUCUUUAUUUCCAUCUAUAUCCCCGGCUUUUUCUUCUGUUCUUCUGCUCCCCUAGAUUCAAUCCCCGCCGUUAAAUUCCUUCUCCUCCUCCUCCUCAUCAUCAUCAUCAUCGCCCUCCUCGCCGCCGACACCUUUACGGUCCAUAAUUUUUUUAAAAAAAUUAAGGGAAUUUUGGGGAGAGG
rnacentral:misc_RNA from 1 species